rnacentral:rRNA from 1 species
UCUGAUUUUAGCGGCGGACGGGUGAGUAACACGUGGGCAACCUACCUUGUAGAUUGGGAUAACUCCGGGAAACCGGGGCUAAUACCGAAUAAACCAUUUUGCUUCAUGGCAAGAUGUUGAAAGGCGGCUUCGGCUGUCACUACGAGAUGGGCCCGCGGCGUAUUAGCUAGUUGGUAGGGUAAUGGCCUACCAAGGCGACGAUACGUAGCCGACCUGAGAGGGUGAUCGGCCACACUGGGACUGAGACACGGCCCAGACUCCUACGGGAGGCAGCAGUGGGGAAUAUUGGACAAUGGGCGAAAGCCUGAUCCAGCAAUGCCGCGUGAGUGAUGAAGGCCUUAGGGUUGUAAAGCUCUUUUACUGGGGAUGAUAAUGACAGUACCCAGAGAAUAAGCCCCGGCUAACUCCGUGCCAGCAGCCGCGGUAAUACGGAGGGGGCUAGCGUUGUUCGGAAAUACUGGGCGUAAAGGGUCCGUAGGCGGUCAGAUAAGUCAGUGGUGAAAGCCCAUCGCUCAACGGUGGA